CUUAGAGUUUGAUCCUGGCUCAGGAUGAACGCUAGCGGCAGGCCUAAUACAUGCAAGUCGAACGGUAAGUGUAGUAGCAAUAUUAUACGAGAGUGACGUACGGGUGCGUAACACGUAUGCAACCUACCCUUUACAGGAGGAUAGCUCGGGGAAACUCGAAUUAACCCUCCAUGAUAUAAUGAUGUGGCAUCACGUUAUUAUUAAAACUCUGGUGGUAAAGGAUGGGCAUGCGUCUGAUUAGUUAGUUGGUGCGGGUAACGGCCCACCAAGACGAUGAUCAGUAGGGGAACUGAGAGGUUGAUCCCCCACACUGGCACUGAGAUACAGGCCAGACUCCUACGGGAGGCAGCAGUAGGGAAUAUUGGUCAAUGGAUGGAAGUCUGAACCAGCCAUGCCGCGUGCAGGAAGAAGGCCUUCUGGGUUGUAAACUGCUUUUGCCAGGGGAUAAAAAGACCGUGCGCGGUUAAUUGAAGGUACCUGGUGAAUAAGCCACGGCUAACUACGUGCCAGCAGCCGCGGUAAUACGUAGGUGGCAAGCGUUGUCCGGAUUUAUUGGGUUUAAAGGGUGCGUAGGCGGCCCUGUAAGUCAGUGGUGAAAUAUCUCAGCUUAACUGAGAGGGUGCCAUUGAUACUGCGGGGCUUGAGUACAGAUGAGGUAGGCGGAAUUGACGGUGUAGCGGUGAAAUGCAUAGAUAUCGUCAAGAACACCGAUAGCGAAGGCAGCUUACUAAGCUGUAACUGACGCUGAGGCACGAAAGUGUGGGGAUCAAACAGGAUUAGAUACCCUGGUAGUCC
rnacentral:rRNA from 1 species